rnacentral:tRNA from 2 species
CGGAAUAUAGCUCAGUCUGGUAGAGCGCUUGCUUCGGGAGCAAGAGGUCGUGAGUUCGAAUCUCGCUAUUCCGACUA